rnacentral:lncRNA from 1 species
UGAUUUGUUUAAGUUCCCGUAACUGAGUGGUUCUGCAAAAGGGAACCAAUAGAAAAAGUACCUUAUUUAAAGAAUAAAAAUGUACUGCGGGGUGUUUUUCCGACUAAAAUCCCUCAUGGUAAUCACCUCAGGGCCACAGCCAAACGAAACAAGUAAAAGAUAAUAAGGUAAAAUUUUUAAAGAGAUUUUUGAUGGAUUAUGUUAACUGAUGCACACGCAAUCACGCACACACGUAUAUAUGUAUUUAUAUAUGCAUAUCUAUAAGGAUAAGUAUGUAUACCGUUUCCCCAAUUCCAAUAGUAUUUGUCUAUCUAUAUAUAUCUGUGUCCAUGUAAAUGUUUGUACAUAUAUAUAUAUAUAUAUAUAUUUGUGUGUGUAUAUAUGUAUACGUGUGUGUGCAUAUAUAUACCCAUGCAUAUAUAUAUGUAUAUGUACAUGUGUGUGUAUGCAUAUAUGUAUAUCUAUAUGUACAUAUAUAUAUAUAUAUAUAUAUAUAUAUAUAUAUAUAGUUAAUCCAAACAAGAAAGCACAAAAAAAAAACAACAAUGCGAGGACGUGGAACAGAUAUAGUAUUAUUGGACGGUCAGGAAGGAAGGAAAGAAGAAGGGUUUAAUGUUUCGAGCGGAGCUCUUCGUCGGAAACAUAGGUGAAGGAAAGAUCCAGAGAAGAGAAGACAGAGGAAAAAAAAUCGCCAACGGUACACACGAGGUCACAUUUUGAAAGACCGGAAGGAAAAUAUAAGGAAAAUAUGUAUAUAUAUGUAUAUAUAUAUAUAUAUAUAUAUAUAUAUAUAUAUAUAUAUAUAUAUAUAUAUAUAUAUAUAUAUAUGCAUAUUCAGACACAUAGACGUGCGAUAGAUAGACAGAUAGAUAGAUAGAUAGAUAGAUAGAUAGAUAGAUAGAUAGAUAGAUAGAUAGAUAGAUAAAUGCAUACAUAAUACAUACAUACGUAUAUGCAAAUAGGUAUGUAUUGUUUUAUGUAUGUGGCAUGUAUAUACGUUUGUUUGUGUGUGAAAAUGUAGACGAUCAUGUGUUAACUUUUCACUGUCGUCAGCCAUAUGUUACCUUCACUAAUGGAAGAGCUCCUCUAGUAAAACUACCACUUAUCAUAUCUAGUUUAUAGCUUCGAUCAACAGCAUAGCAUCUUCUUUUAUUGGGUUGUAUUUUCCGAUGUCGUUCUCCAGGAAAUUUCUAGUUUCGCCUCUCUUCGUAUGUGUGUGUUUGUGUGUGUGUCUCUCUCUCUCUCGCUCCCUCCAUCUCUCUGUCUGUCUGUAUAUCUCUUUCUUUCUCUGUCUCUCUCUCGUUCUUUCUCUCCCAGUCACCGCUUCUUUUUCUCCUUCCCACUGUCUGUCUUUAUUUUCACACAAUUUUUUUCCCUCUGAUACACACAGACACACACACACACACACACACACACACACACACACACACACACACACACACACACACACACACACACACGCACAUACAUACAUACAUACAUACAUACAUACACACACACACACAGACACACACACACGCACGCACAUACACACACACACACUAACACUCACACUCACACACACACAUAUAUAUGUAUAUAUGCAUACAUACAUACAUACAUACAUACAUAUAUAUAUAUAAUUUAUAUAUACCUACACACAUAUAUACAUGUAUAUACAUAUAUAUGGUUGUCCGCAUGUCCUUUUGAUUGUCUAAUAAUUUUUUUUUUGGUGCAAAUAUGCAUGAAUGUAUAUAUGUAUUAUACUAUACAUACAUACAUACAUAUAUAUAUAUAUAUAUAUAUAUAUAUAUAUAUGUGUGUGUGUGUGUGUGUGUGUGUGUAUACAAAUAUGCCUAUAUAUAUAUACACACACAUAUACACACAUGAUAUCAGUUUCAACGUAUAGCAUAAUUUUACCUGACUUAUCAAAAUCCUACUUAAUUAUUAUCGGAACUCUAUUGCGUGUCGUAGUGUUGUGGUGUUGAAGCGUUGUUAUUCAACGCAAUCAAUACCUUCACUAAUGUUAAUUCCACCAUCCACCCCCCACCACCCCACCGCGACCACUAUUCCAUAAUCCUGCUGCACGUUUUAGUAUCUUCCGACAUCGUUAAUAUCGCUACCAUUACACAGCUGCAACAGGGGUGUUUUCCCGUAUCUCUCAACAGUUGUAGCAGCUUCGGCUGCUCUGCUUUUGCUGCUCUUUAAAUCCGUUGUCGUUCAGUUCUCUCAUUCGUAUUUAGAAAAAAAACACACAUUAAACAUGCAAUGGUUUACUGGUAAACAUACAUACCUAUUUCUUUACUACUACCCACAAGGGGUUAAACACAGAGGGGAGACAAACAAGGAUAGACAAAACGGAUUAAGUCGAUUACAUCGACCGCCAGUGCGUAACUGGUACUUAAUUUAUCGACCCCGAAAGGAUGAAAGGCAAAGUCGACCUCGGCGGAAGUUGAACUCAGAACGUAACGGCAGACGAAAUACGGUUACGCAUUUCGCCCGGCGUGCUAACGGUUCUGCCAGCUCGCUGUCUUUAAACAUACCUACCUACCUACAUACUUACACAUACAUACAUAUAUACAUAGGUACAUACAUACAUGUAUUUCACCUAUAUAGAAUUAUAUCUGAGUUCGAGACCAGUCAUUUGCUGAGUUUACAAAUAAUAUUACCCACAUAGUCUAUAAAUAUAUUUAUAUAUGGACACCAGGCGUUGCUGCGUAGUAAGAAGCUUGCAUCCCAACCAUAUGAUUGAUUCUCAGUUCUACUGCGUGGCACAUUGUGCAAGUAUCUUCUACUAUAGUCUCGGGCCGAUCGAAACCUUGUGAGUCUAUAUAUGUCUAUAUAUGUCUGUGUAUGUGUGAGAGAGAAUGUGUGUGUGUAUGUUUGAGUGCGUGUGUUAAAUAAACUAAGAAAAAGCUAAGCAAUUUGAUAUUCGUAGGACAUUUAUAAAGAGAAAGGUGGCCUUACAACCGUUUCAGGAAAGUAAAUGAUACCCCAUCAUCAGAGACGAGUUAAAAGAGCCUCAAUAGAAGGAAUUGGUAGGGUUCAAUUUUUUAGAAUAAAUUAUUCUGGAGGGAAAUACUAGAAAUUACAUAUAAUAUUUUCUACUGUAGGCACAAAGCCAAAAUUUGUGGGGAGUGGGCCAUUCGAUAAGAUCGACCCCAAUGCGCAACUGAUACUCAAUUUAUCGACCCCGAAAUGAUGAAAGGCAAAGUCGACCUCGGUUGAAUUUGAACUCCGAAUAUAAAGACAGACGAAAUACUAAGUAUUUCGCCCGGCGUGCUAACGUUUCUGCCAGUUCGCCGCCUUAAGAAAUUAGAUAUAGUGCAGAAAGUAUAAAAGGAAAAUAUGAAGAUAAAAAUUCACGUUGGGUGCUAAAGUUGCUAUUCCAUUAUCCGGAUAAACUGAACUGCAACAUUAAAACCCAACAUUAAGCUUUAUUUAAUAUUUUCUUUUUAUACUUUCUGCAUUACCUCUAAUCUCUUGUAUGCCCCUAGCCUCUCCAGAAUAACUUCUAAAAAAGUAUCUGUUCUCAUUUCUUCUAUUGAAGCUCUUUUAACUCGUCUCUGAUGAUGGGCUAUCAAUUAUUUCCACGAAACAGCUGUAAGACCACUUUUCUGUUUAUAAAUGUCCAAGGAUUAUCAAAUUGCCUUGGCCUUGCUAUCUUAUUCCAUUUAACAUAUACACGCUCACAUAUGACUUGCCUUAGACUCCUUACUCGUGUUAUUUUUGAGCCGGGCGCUUAACAGCUGUCCUUCCGUAGCACUUACAUAGUCACAUAGCCUUACCUGUCUUUUGGGUCUUCUGGACGCCAAAACAUAUAUAUAUAUAUAUAUAUAUAUAUAUAUAUAUACAUGUGUGUGCGUGUCUUUGUGUCUGUGUUUGCCCCCCACAUCACCGCUUGACAAACGGCGUUAGUUUGUUUACGUCCCCGUAACCUAGCAGUUCGGCAAAAGAGACCGAUACAAUAAUUAUCGAUACAAAAUAAGUGCUGGGUGUCGACUUGUUCGACUAAAACGUUCUGUCCCAACAUGACCGCAGUCACAUGACUGAAACCAGAAAAAUAAUGAAAGAAUGAUAGGAUAUAUAUAUAUAUAUAUAUAUAUAUAUAUAUAUAUUAAUUUCAGGUUAGUAAGGAUUUUCCGUGCGUAUAUAUAUAUAUAUAUAUAUAUAUAUAUAUAUAUAUAUAUAUUUACGCACGGAAAAUCCUUACUAACCAGGAGAAUUGCUUAAUUGGCGGCAUAAGACUAUUCAGUUGCCUCAAGAGAACAACAACUUCGCAGUCACUAUCAACGUUUUCUUUCUAAUCAUGAAAACAGAAGCUGCUCUCCUAAAAGUAUUGCGUGAUCUUUCAUUUUAAUGUCUGAUUGUUUAAUCUAUAACUUCUUACACAAUAAAAAUGUUUUAUAUUUUUAGCUUUAUCUGCUCCGAUUGUCACAGUUCCAAAAAGAAAUUUUAUAUUUUUACAACAUGUAUCAUAUAUCAUGUGCACACACAUGCACGCAUACAAACACACACACAUACAUACAUACAUGCAUACAUACAUGUCUGUAUGUAUGUAUGUAUAUAUAUAUAUAUAUAUAUAUAUAUAUAUAUAUAUAUAUAUACGUGGUUGUGUCGUGUAAGAAGCUUACUUCUCAAACACAGAGUACCGCGUUCUGUCCCACUGCGUGACACUUUAGAUAACUGUCUCUUUCUAUAGCUUCGAAGUGAUCAAAUCUUUAUUAGUUGAUUUGGCAUACGUGCUGUGUAUAUAUAUAUAUAUAUAUAUAUAUAUAUAUAUAUAUAUAUAUAUAUAUAUAUAUAUAUAUAUAUAUAUAUAUAUAUAUAUAUAUAUAUAUAUAUAUAUAUAUACAUAUGUCGCGUCGCUUGACAAUAUAUGUUGGUUUGUUUACGCGCCUGCAACUUAGCAGUUCGAUACAGCAAGUAUUGGCUUACCAACGAUAUGCCCUGGGGUCAACAGAGUGAGAGUUACAUAUACAUAAAUGUAUACACACAUAUACGAGCAUACACCCAUACAUGCUUAUACGAAGGGCACAUUAUCGCUGGAAGUGUCAGUGAAUGUAUGUUCUGUUUGUAUGUUUAUAUGUAGCUUGCUUUUAUGCAUAUUUUCCAUAUUCCGUGUAGUGUCUUUACGUUAACGUCCCCAAAUCCAUGAGCAAGAUUUCUAGACUUCCAUAGUGUCAAAUUCUAAAUGAAUUAAUGUCGAUGUGACUUCCACUUAAUUCCAACGUCACUAAUGAAACCACAGCACCCGGUAUUUCAACAAUCAAAUUUCCAAGCCAAGAGACAGGUGUUUAUGUCUGAUUGUGACAAUUGUUUACUGUGUUUGUCAUAUUUCCACACUGUGCUCUAUUCUCCGCAUUCUUUCCUUAAUUGUCUUUAUUUUGCAAGGAAUUAAAUACACCUACAGAUGUCUUGUUAGGUGUGGUGUUCUCCUAGUUCUUUUAUUUUUGUAUUGUGUGAUGUAAUUUUUCGUGGUUAUGACUCUAAACUGCAUCCAGUGGCGGAGACCUGGUUUGGGACUUCGUAGGUUUUGAGGAAUGUGGAACCACCUCUAUGUGGAAGCGCGUGGAUUAGUGGUUAGGGUGUGGAACUCAUGAUCGUAAGAGUGUGGUUUCGAUUCCUGGACCGGCGACGCGUUGUGUUCUUGAGCAAGAUACUUCAUUUCACGUUGCUCCUGUCUUCUCAGCAGGCAAAACUGAGCCAUCCUGAUACAAACCGGCGUCAUGUACAAGUGAGAAAUAUAUACACCUUGGAAACCAGGACCUUAUAAGUCAACAUGACUCGAAAACGAAUCUAAGCCACCUCUUAGUCACUAUGACUCUGAAGUCCACUCUGACCUGAAAUAAUAGCACUUGCCAGGACCCUAGCAUGGAUUACUUUGCAUGUCACGGAACCGCUUCUGUAAGAUCACCCUCAGGCAUUCCAAUGGUCUCAAAGCAGAUAAAGCCCUUCAGCUCAACAUCUGCUUAUUUAAGAGAUGGCAACUCCCACGCACCAGACUAAUACAUGUUUGUAUGACGAGACUAAUUGGCUCUGAAAAACCAUACCCACCAAAAUGAUAUUCAUCUUUCAGACUAUCGAUCAACCCAACAGACCAGUUUCCAUGGGAUUACGAAUGUGUGCAGCUGUGUUUUGAUGACUCUGCAUCCCUCGAAGCAACAACAGAGUCAUGUCAAUGUCAUGUUAUGCUUUGUAAUUACAUUUUGAUGCAGAUUCAUAGUAAGCAUGGUCAUAUAAAACUAGAAGCAGUAAAGUUUCCAAGUUGCAUGUUUGCAAACGAAUUUAUAAAUAAUAUUAACAUUCGUUCGCGAUUUAACAGGUUCUUGGAUUGCUGGAAUGAGAUUAUUUUUAAUACUUAUAUUUUGUAGAGUGUUACCAGUGUUAUUCUAUGAAUCUCUGUAAAACACUUUAUAUUCUAUUUACACUGUUUUUGAAUUAUCUAUUCUAUAGAAUUCAUGCGAAUGCAUAAAAAAUCAUGUUUGUAAUCAUACAGAAACACAAAUAUUUUUGCAAAAGUUAACAUUAUAUUCAACACAUUUCCAAACAAAUCUCAUCGAUCAUUCCUGAUCUGGGGAUAUAAAAACCACACUCCCACGUAAAUUUCAAGAGAUUCCUGAACAAUCGUUUACUAAUAAAAUAUUUUCCUAACAUACAUCAUAUCUCCAAGCACAAAUGCAUUUUGUAUUCACAAAGAAUGUAACGCAAAUAAUACAAAGGUGUCCUUGUAGUAAAUUAAAAUUAACACCUGAAAUUAAAGAAGCCGCUGAUGAUGAGAUCGAUAUGAUGGAAGCACUCCGUCGGUUACGACGAUGAGGGUUCCGGUUGAUCCGAAUCAACGGAACAGCCAGCUCGUGAAAUUAACGUGUAAGUGGCUGAGCACUCCACAGACACGUGAACCCUUAACGUAGUUCUCGGGGAUAUUCAGCGUGACACAGAGAGUGACAAGGACGGCCCCUUGAAAUACAUGUACAACAGAAACAGGAAGUAAGAGUGAGAUAAAGUUGUAGUUAAAGAGUACAGCAGGGAUCACCACGGCCCCCUGCCGGAGCCUCGUGGAGCUUUUUUUAGGUGUUUUCGCUCAAUAAACACUCACAACGCCCGGUCUGGGAAUCGAAACCGCGAUCCUAUGACCGCGAGUCCGCUGCCCUAACCACUGGGCCAUUGCGCCUCCACUUAUGAGAUCGAUAUAAUAUUAAAAGCAUUAACUGAAUGUCCGGUGGAUCCUGUUUUAUAUAACAGCAACACAAGUUCAUGGUGCAGGUUCAAAUAUACAUCUUAGAUAGAAUUAGGUUCGCAUUGCAAGUUGCUGUGGAGCCAUUAUUAAAGUACGUAAUUGCUAAACUCUAGGAAACACUAAUUGUAGUGCAGAGUUCAACUCCAGUUUAGAAAUAAACACAAGGAUGGUUGGGGAGAAGCGUAUGUAUGCAGCAGCAGAAUUACGAAUAAUCACUGCUACAAUACCCCCAAGAAGGAAGGUGUACUCUUUUACAUAUUUCAGUUAUUUGACUGAGUCCAUGCUGGAUCACCAUCUUUAGUCGAGCAAAGCGACCUCAGGACUUAUUCUUUGUAAGCCUAGUACUUAUUCUAUCGGUCUCUUUUGCCGAACCGCUAAGUUACGGGGACGUAAACACACCAGCAUCGGUUGUCAAGCGAUGUUGGGGGGACAAACACAGGCACACAAACAUACACACACACACACACACACACACACACACACACAGACACAUAUAUAUAUAUAUAUAUAUAUAUAUAUAUAUAUAUAUAUAUAUACAUAUAUACAUAUAUACAUAUAUACAUAUAUACAUAUAUACAUAUAUAUAUAUAUAUACGCCGGUCUCCUUUCAGCUUCUGUCUACCAAAUCCACUCACAAGGCUUUGAUUGGCCCGAGGCUAUAGUAGAAGACACUCGCCCAAGGUGCCACGCAGUGGGACUGAACUCGGAACCAUGUGGUUGGUAAGCAAGCUACAUACCACUCAGCAAAAAUCUGUAUUUAGUUACGAUGCCAUAAAAUUUCCGAGGGUUUCGAAUAUUAAUAUAAUAAUCGUUGUUAUAUUUCGUCUUUGGAGAACAACUUCUCCAUUCAGACGAAUGUUUGUUUAUGGUUAGCACCUUUGGAUACUUGCUGUUUCGACUUGAUUGUAUUUCUUUAUUCGAAGUUACCACGAAUUUGUGAAUCUAACCAGAAUUUUGAGCUCUUGUUUAAACUUCAGGAAACAAACUAUUCGCUGUUGAUUAAUGAUACCCGCCGACCUAUAACAAAUCUUCAUAUCAACAGGAUUGGCUGUGUGGUAAGUAGCUUGCUUACGAACCACAUGGUUCCGGGUUCAGUCCCACUGUGUGGCACCUUGGGCAAGUGCCUUCUGCUAUAGCCUCGGGCCGACCAAAGCUUAGUGAGUGGAUUUGAUAGACGGAAACUGAAAGAAACCCGUCGUAUAUAUGUUUAUAUGUAUGUAUGUAUGUUUUUGUAUCUGUGUUUGUCCCCCAACAUCGCUUGUCAACCGAUGGUGGUGUGCUUACGUCGUCGUAACUUAGCAGUUCGGGAAAACAGACCGAUAGAAUAAGUACUAGGCUUACAAAGAAUAAGUCCUAGGGUCGAUUUGCUCGACUAAAGGCGGUGCUCCAACAUGGCCGCAGUCAAAUGACUGAAACAAGUAAAAGAUUAAAAGAGUAGGCGCAUUGAAUGACGAGAGUCAAAACGAUAACACACAUAUUCAGUCCUAAAUUAUUCCUGCAGCUUUGAACAUCAUUAUGUUAAUCACUGUUGUAGCUCAUCGUUGUAUUUAGUUAAGUCAUUUUUAUACUGUGAAUAGAAAUCUUUUUCGUGACUACAUGGCCUUCCAUUCUAAGUGGAUUGGAGAUAAUGUAUUCCGUUGUGCGUCCCUCUAAAAGUUGAUUGUAUUCAUUUAUUCUUCAGUACGUUUCUAGUAUCCAAAUGAACGAAAGUCUUCUAGCCAAAGUUGUCCCAAGUUUUCAGGCAUUAUAUAUCAAUAUGUGAUAUUUUAGAGAUAGAAGAGUUUGAAUUGAGAUGGGAUUUCGCUGUUAUUUUUAGUAGGUUCGAUAACUGCAAGGAUUAUCGACAGUCUUUCGUCGGAUCGAGUUAAAAAUUAUGUUUUUUCUAUAUCAAAAUGAAAAAUCAAACUAUUCGUCAAUGAUUUUAACAUAAUUUGGUAAAGAGUUUGUGAAUCCUUAUUUCAAUGUAUAUUACCGAUAGAUUAUGCUGAACGCUCCCAGCAAAUCUGCUUUUCACAGCUUUCAGUUUACUUAUUUAUUAUAACACAUUUUUUGUUGCAUUUCUUGUUCAUGUUGGUUACUAGAAUUUAAAUGCCGAUAGCUAGAAUAUGGAGACUAAUAAUCUUAAAAUACCACGUUGAAGUAAUAUUACAUUAAAUUAUGUCAGUACUAUGCAGUUGGAUUAUUUUUAGAGUAGCUUGAAAGAUAUGAUAAACAUAUAUAUAUAUGUAUAUUGUGUAAAUAAUACAUACUGUAAUUUGAAUAUAUAUGACAAAACCUGUUAGAAAUAAGGUAAAUAUAAACUAAAUUAUAAAGCGAAAAUAUAAAUUGAAAUAUGGCGUAAACAUUUGUCAUGAUAUUACUGGUGGCAAAAACUACUUAAUGAUAAAUUCAUUAUGUCCAGUGAUCAGUUAAAAUGAAAUAAAGUAGGUAGGUACAUGUUCAUUAUUAAUACUCUCUAACUAAUUCAAACAAGAAUAGGUUAAUUGAUGUGUUUUGUCCACGGAGAAGACCUGAUCGUUUCAGACAAUAUUUUGGGUUGUCCGGAAGUUCGUGCCGAUUUUUAAAAGAAAGAAAAGAGUCAAUAAAUACUUGCCAUUACAUUUUUAAUCAACCAAAAAUGAAUCAUUUUGUUGCAAAAUACGUCUCCAUCAUAUUUCCUUUAACUUUAAAAUACCCUCUUCCCAGAAUUGAGGUGGUUUCAUUGUAAAGAAUUCAUCAAGGUAUCUUUUUACGUCAUCCAAGGAAUUGAAAUUUUUGCCAUUAAGACUAUUCUGCAGAGACCUGAAUAAGUGGAAAUCCGAAGGAGCAAUAUCUGGUGAAUAUGGAGGGUAGCUGCAGCAAUUUUUGUCUGGUUCCCAGAGCAUCAAGUGCCGAAAAUGAACUUUCUUAUCUUCCAUUUUAAAGGGUUACAGAAUUAACACAGGUUAUAGGAACAUAAAUCUUCUUCCACAAAAAUAUAGCUUAAACUGUGCUCUAAAUGGAGGCGUAGUCAAAUCCUAUUUUAUGGACUCAACCAUGUUCUAAAAUUAGUCGAAAGAUAAGCAAUUAUAAAUUGGCACGAACUUUCCGGACAACCCAAUAUCUUCAUAACUGGAUUCAUUGCUUUGAUUUUGGCACUUGACAGCUUAUUAUCUGUUUGCCAAACGUUAGCAAAUACUUCGCUGAUUUCUAUAAACAAGGCCAAAAUUCUUAAGUUCAUCAAUAGGGUGGUUGUUUUGAUUGAUGAGGUAUAAGUAGGUUGAUACACUGCAAUGUCUCAAAGUCCUUUUACCAUAAUGACUCAAAUGUGUUAUGAAUACACGUUGUCUGAAAGGAGAAGAUGUUCUCUAAUGACGAAAUAAAACAGUGAUUAGUAUAUUUACGUUCGAAUAUCUCGGGACUCAUUAAUUAUUAUUUCUACACUAGGCCCAAUGUGGGGACAAGGGGUCUAGUCAAUUGCAUUGACUCCAGUGCGUAACUGGUACUUAUUUCAUCGACCUCGAAAGGAUGAAAAGCUAAGUCGACCUCGGUGGAAUUUGAACUUAGAAGGUAGCGGCAGAGGAAAUACCUAUUUCUUUUCUACCCACAAGGGGCUAAACACAGAAGAGAAAAACAAGGACAAGAAAACGGAUUAAGUCGAUUAUAUCGACCCCAGUGCGUAACUAGUACUUAAUUUAUCGACCCCGAAAUGAGGAAAGGCAAAGUCGACCUCGGCGGAAUUUGACCUCAGAACGUAGCCGCAAACGAAAUUCCGCUAAGAAUUUCGCCCGGCGUGCUAACGAUUCUGCCAGCUCACCGCCUUUUCGAACGUAUUAAUGAUAAAUAUAAAUAUGAUUAUUUUGAUUUACGUUAUUCUCGCGCACAUAAUGAUUUACUAUCCGUUUAACAGACGUAAUGGCGUGUCAACAAAUACUUGUAUGUUGCUCAUUCCUAUAAACAAAAGCGAACAGUGAAAGUUUAGAUUCAUUUAUCAAGAGGAACCUUGGCUGGAAGCACAUUACCUGAUCGAAAUCCCACGGUAUCUCAAAGUCCUCUUGCCUUAAUGAACCGAGGGUAUUGUAAAUGCACCUUGUCUAACAAGACAAGUAAUUCUCCAAAGACGAAAUAAAAGAGCAAAUAACGUAUGAAUGUCCUUAUAUGCAUGUAUAUAUAUACAUGUGUGCAUGUGUACAUAUGUGUGUGUCUGUAUAGGCGUAUAUGUGCGUAUACGUAUACCUAUGAUUAAAUUUAUGUACGCGUGUACACGUGUAUAUAAAUGUUUGUUAUUUUCAGACACACAUUCAGACACCAGAAGUUUACAAAACGAUUAUGAACAAAUACAGUUUCCGUGAAACUCUCUACAGUAACUAAAAUAAUUCAAAAUUUCAUUAACCAAUCAGAAUUAAUUGACCAACACGUGCUUAUAUUGACUUCUUCUUAGGUGUGAUGGGUAAAAUGAGUAAAGAUAUAUAUAUAUAUAUAUAUAUAUAUAUAUAUAUAUAUAUAUAUAUAUACAUACAUACAUAUAUGAAUGUGUGAGUGUGCACACAUAUGCCGAAGAUUGUAAAAUUAAAAACGAAUUUCGUUUUUGGAUUUGGUUUGCAAGAUUCUUUAUAUGGAUUCGUGUGUUGGAGCAUAUUCUGUUGUGUCUGGGGAGCGUCAUUUUCUUUUUGUGCCUUAUUAUUUAACACACUGACCGGUAAAAUUUCCAUUUGUUUUCGUAUUUUUAUUGUCCUAAAAUUUUUGUUGAGUCUUGCAACAUUUUCAAUAGUUUAUGUGUGUAUAUAUAACAAUUGAAAAGGUUGCAAGACUCAACAAAAAUUUUAGGACAAUGAAAAUAAGAAAAAUAGUGGAAAUUUUACCGGUGAGUGUGUUAAAUAAUAAGGCACAAAAAGAAAAUGACUCUCCCCAGACAAUUAAAAAUAAAUGUUAUUCAGUAAACAAAAUUGAACAACCAUAAGCAAUCGAUAUUUAAGGUAGUGAUUAGGGUCGUAGAUUGGAUGAAUCGAUAGCACAUUUUACAGCACGGACUGUCUUAGAGUAUUUGUUCCAGUUCUUUAAGUUCUGCUUCCGCGACAAUGAUGACACAGAGUAUCAAAAUCUCCAUGCGGUCUUGUAUUAUAGUUGGGCAACAAUAUAAGGUCAAACAAAAUCCCCUAGGCCUUUACUUUCAAAGAGGAACUUUCCAGAUCCAAAUUCUUCGUCUCAUGAGACAUACAGCUGGACCGGAUAAUAAUCCUCAUUUUAAGAUCUAUUUUGCUCCAGCAUGGCCUUACAGGUAAUGACUGAAACCAAUCAAAGAACUUAAAAGCUUUAUAAUAGC